UCCUCUUCCUCGCGAUAAUUAACGGUUGCGCGUGAAAACUAAAACGACCAAGAAUCUGGGAAGGGGUUAGAAGGGGGAGAGUGAACAUGAUCUGGCUGUAAAUGGUAGAAACCGAUUUUUCAUACCGUCUAGAUACAUCGAAAAAGAAAAUUCUGCGUGCACACACGCACAUUGAAAUAAAGAAACAAAUAUAUUGACAGUAAAAAAGAGCAUUUUGAAUUUCUGUUGAACUCCUAGAAUUUUUUUGAAUAAUCAAUUUCAAUUUUUCGCCGUACAGUCGUUGAAUGAAUCGAAGAAGAAAUAAUUCAAUGGAGAUAAUUUCCGUCCAUAAUAACCUCAAAAAAAUAUUGAACAUGAAGAGAUAAAAACAGGUGGAGGCAUAAGAAUGAAAAAGCCUCAUACAUACUUCGGGUUCGCGUGUCGUACGGUCGUAACUUGUCCUCCCGCUUGUCGCGGUGAGGGAAAUCCGGAUGAAUUUACCGGCCCAUACGCACGUGAGGCAGUGGCCCAUACGAGAAAGCCUUUUUUUUAUAAUGAAAAAAAAAAACAGUAAAUUAAUAAAAACCAAGCGCAGAAAUGGAAGGCAAGGAGAGAAGCGAUCUUUACACGCGUUAACGAACAAAUCAUCGCCGGCGUACAUAAAGUUGCCUCAACGGAAUAUCACGACUCCACGAGCAGUGCAAUUUGCAUACAUGCAUACCCAAGUGAGUUAUCUGUUACCCUCGGUCUAAAAAAAAUGAAUUUUAUUCAUUUCCCGUUCUCACUUUGAGUCGCUUACCAAUCCUUAUAAUCUCAUAUUUAUUUUCUCAUUUAUUUUGACGAGGAUGAGCUUGAACUUGCGUCAAAUUUGAGCUUUUCGCGGCCAAAAUGACCUGUUACGGCCCCAGAACAACGCCUUUGCCCGGCGCUUGGCCGACGUUAGCCUGCACCACGCUGUCUGACCCGAAUCGUUCCGUAACUACUGACGACCGUUCGGUAACAGUUUGCGAACCUUAUUAAGGUCAGUCGAAUUCUUCCUCAGUGAUAACAUUAUCGCGAUCGCGGAAAAGCUUGUAACAAGUAGUUGGCGAAUAUUCUCGUCUAUUAUGCACUGCCUUUAUUAGAGAAUAACGCGAGCGUCGACAGACAUCGGAUAUCCAACAAGAGCAUAAGCAAAAAGGAAGGUCGAAUGAAGGGCAAAAGAUGAAUCGCUGGAGAUGUUAUUAUGGAAAAAAUGUGGAAAGAGGUAGAGUUGAGGCUUACGGCGAGGAAGCAAUUAUCUGGCCGUUGGAGUGGAAGAAGGGGUGGUUAUGUUCGACAAUGUAUGAGGAAUAAAGAGACAAGAGAAGAAGGGGUUGAUCGGAAAAACAGAGCUGAGGAUUAUCCAUGAAGCGCAACCUCUUCAGUUACUUCCUCGAUGUUUAUGAGCCAAGUGCCUAUCUUUUAUUUCCAUCUCCCUCGCUCUUUGGUCUUGGUUUAAACGUAUUGCCCAUAGGUAGAGUACUAAAUACACCAUAAACCAAAGACGAUUGCUGGCAAAGAGGUGAGGUUGGUGAAUGUAUGGGUUGAGGAUGGAAGAUUGCCGAGACAAGUAGAUGAGUUUUCAUGGUUUUUGAAAAUAUGGAUAUUGGUAUGGGCUAUUUAUUUAUUGUGUUUAUUCAAUGCCAGUGGUUAGCAAGUUAAUGUGGAGUAAUAAAUGUAUUGGAGUAUUUAUUGAGUGGAUUUUAAUGUUAUGGAUAUUUUAAUUUACAGUAUCAUUAUCUUCGGCAAGAAAUCUCCCUAAUGACUUUGUAUGACACGAGAAUCAAUCAUUAAUAAUUAAAUUUCCGCGCCAGAAGUUUCGAUGAAGUCAGACUUCACCGUAUGGGGAGAAAUUUUAUCUAGAGAAGAGAAUUUCUCAUACCUGGAGAGAAAAUUAAUUUUAAUAUUGUUGUUAAAUUUUGCGAUGAAGACGAGGGAAUGAGAGCAUGAUGCACGCGGUGUGGAUAAAGCUCUCGUGCUGUCGCCAUUUGUCGCGAUAAUUCUCUGCAAGCUCAUCAAGUUCUAAGAAAUUAUCACAUGCAUCACGGAACGUUUAUUCAUAAAUCGACUGUCCUUACCCCGAUGAUAGAUUUAUAAUCAUCAUAAGGACCCGAUAAAAUAGCUCGCAAUAUACUCAUUAAAAUAACCUGCCCAUUAUACUCCCCCCGAGGCCAGAAAAAAAUGCAAAACUGUCCUAUUACUUAUGACACUCAUUGGUAUUGUACAAUCAUUUACUAUAAUACACGCUAAUACAUCUCACACUAUUUCCUAGGGAGCAGUUUAAAGUGGCAAGUUUGCCUUACGGGUAGACUCGCGUGCCGCUGUGAAAACGGAAUAUUAUUAUCACGUGAGUUUAUGCAUCCUGAGCCAGCGAGAAAACAGUUGGUCGAGAAGGGUUGAAGAAGUUGCUCUCCAACUCCAUGUACCUCGAAACUUUUAUUACAGUCUAUAGGGUGUACGAAUGCUGCAUGAAAUGCAGCACGAAGUGAGGAUAGUUUGCGAGUAAAGACUACCCGUCGUUUAUCCACCAAACAGUAUUGUGGGUGAGGCCAGGGGGAGGCCGGGGGGGUGGUGGGGAUGUACGUAAAAGGCAUCGCUCUAUCAAUCACUGAAUAAGGAGAGGAUUAAAGUGGGGAGAGAGCUGCGAUUACUCGAACGAGGAAGCGUGUGUGCACUCGGUGGAUAAUGAAUACGAGAGGUGGAUCAUUUGGAUAGCAUUGUUGGCACGGGCAUCUGUAACCGAUGAUUAUUUCUAACGAAGCCUCAUUGAUUCAACAGUUUGAUAUUUCCAUCCACCAACAAUGAAUUUCCACCGAGGAGUAUUCACCCCAUAUAACGAGGCAUCGUAACAAGUAUGCCAGUACUCCCAUCGCCGAAGAUAGUAUGUACUGAAUAAGUAUAAAGAGGAGCAUACAUACAGAAGAUGAAGGUAGAAUGAAGUAGCCGGUAGAUGAGAGAGAGGCAAAUGGAGUACAGAGGACGCCGACGGGAUACCUCCUUGGCACGCCGUUAAUGGCCAGGGUAAUUAUUGUCUUCGGCCAGGUGGUCCGUUGUUACUUAUUAGUAGCGCAGGAGGUAUACAAUCAAUAGAGUGGGGAGGUUUGAGUGAAAUAAGAAAAAUAACACGUCGAUUUAAUGUUUCACCGAGUAAAUGUUACAUCGAACAAAAGAGAGCCCCCACGAAUCAUGAACAAUUGCUAAUUCAAUCAUAAAGUUUAAUCUAGUUGCCCCCCUUUUUUUUCUCUCUCUCUCUCUCUCAUAUCUCUGGCUAUUUUCUCAUCAUAAAAUUGCCGAUCAUUAUUACAGAUAUUGGAUGGCUAACGACUGCACAGUUGCUCGCGGUUGAACUGCAUUCUAACCGAUCGAGGAGAGGAAGGUUGGAUAAAAAUUUUAAAAGCGCGAACUAACGUACCCGGACGCCUUGUGCACAGUUUCCUAUCCUUGGGAUUCUCGUAAACAUGCCACUGCAUUGCCGGCAAUGUCGCGGCUUGUAUUUCACGCCGAACAGCAGAAUAGGAAUACUUGGCCUUUUAUUUCUGUCUCCUCCUUGAAGCUGGAAAGAAAAAUGGCGGGAAGUGUUCUAGAGAGACGUAUUCUCACGUAUUUCUCUGGAUGACGGUUGAGGACUGAAGCCAAUAAAUCGAGCCUAUAUGAACCCUGCAGGAAGAUCUCAUUUGCAUGAAGCUGAAGGACUUUUAAAUCCACUCUUGAGGGGCGAGAUGGGGUGAGACUGCGUCUCCUGCAACAAAUGGAAUCUUAGACGAAAAAUCAUAACCGAGAGACUUUCCCAUAGGGAAUUGUAGAAAUGCCCCCAGCAGAGGGAUCAAGACAGUUAUAAUCCCGACAGCCAUGAAGAAUGGUAAUACGAUAUAAUUCGAGGCGUAAAUAUCGACAUACACCUCGAUGAUUCUCGCUUUUAAGCUGGGUCCGAGGUGGACAAGACAAUGUCAUUGCACGAUAGCGAAUGACCAGUGGCGUCUUCCCACGGUACAGGAGUAAAAGUGGACAGGGCGACCGACACAAAUACGUAACACACAUGUACGAAGGAUGUGGACCGGUAAUGGUUGAAGGCAUCAUCACCUUGCGGCAACGGCGUACAAGGGUCUCAGUGGGUCAGAAGAGGCUCGAGGUCCUGCCCCGGAAACCCUUGCAUCAAAGGUCGAAAGUUUGACAUGCCGACUAACAGGAGGAACUCGGAUUACAACCGACAAUAAAUCUGAAGUCCCAAGUGUUGUAGGCGAACACUCCACUGGGGCGAGCCGACGUAUCCAGGCUUGGCAUACAGUGAUGUGUGGGCGAAUGUACACCCGGCUAACUUUGCCCAAGACCCUGGCCCACCUGAGGACCGAGAUCACUUCAGCACCUGAUCGCUUUUCUCAGCCCGAGACCAUUAAUUUUUCAUCAAUUUUUCAUGGAAUGUUCUCAAUAUCUUAAAAAUAUCAACAUUUGUCUCAAUUUUUUCCUGAAAAUGGUCUUUUUCCUUUCCGCCAAUAUAUCAACAAUUUUUUAACCCCCAUUCCCUGUUAAACAAUCCAUUAUUAUUCCCUCCCUCCAAGUUGGCAAGAAAUUACAAACCCAUUAUUCCAAAUGUCAGUGCAGAUUCUUCAACGUCUCCAUGAAUAAUUGAUAAAUAAAAGCGUGCUGAGUUUCUCGCCUAACAAUUCCCUGGCAGCAAUGAAUUCCAAGUUCAUUAUCCCCCUUGAUUAACAAUUAAAAUGAGAAAUGCCAUUUCACCCCCUGAAUUUCUUCAUGCAAUUCCUAAAAUUUCCAUCAAAUGAACCCAUUCACUUUCCCAACAUCACUCCCCAUAAUUUUUUUUCCCCUCAGCAUUCCAUCCAACAUAGUCAUCGUCCUCCACCGAGAAUAUCAGCUGAAGAAGACUCGUUGAAAAAUAAAAGGAUAACAACAAGAAGUUCCAGAAGUGGAAGGUGAACGCGACAACGCAGUAACGACCGGCGUCCUGUACACAGCGCGAUGAUCUAUCUCUAUCCAGAUUUGGUGACUCCAAGACGUUCAUCUUUCUCCUAUUCAUCCCCUCUCCUGCUACUCGGUUAAUCCACCUAUUGGAAUAUAUUUUGCCUCGUAUUUGAAAGCCAGCGUGAGGGUCAAACGAUAUCACCUGGUA